rnacentral:tRNA from 1 species
GCCUUCGUGGUGUAGUGGUCAGCACCCUCGGCUUGUAACAGAGAGGUCAGUGGUUCGAUUCCCGGCGAAGGCG